UACGAAGGGGGCUAGCGUUGCUCGGAAUGACUGGGCGUAAAGGGCGCGUAGGCGGCUCUAUUUGUCAGGCGUGAAAUUCCUGGGCUCAACCUGGGGGCUGCGCUUGAGACGGUGGGGCUAGAGGUCAGAAGAGGCUCGUGGAAUUCCCAGUGUAGCGGUGAAAUGCGCAGAUAUCAGGAAGAACACCCGUGGCUAAGGCGGUUCUCUAGUACGGUACUGACGCUGAGACGCGAAAGCGUGGGGAGCGAACAGG
rnacentral:rRNA from 1 species